GGAUGGUCACCAUCAUCUUAUAAGUUGUGAAAAACUAUCUGCAUUUUUGUAAUUUUCUAGCAAUUGGUAAUGGUAGUUGUGAAAAACUAGUGGAAUUUGGGUCUUUUGCAAUAACAAUGAAUUAAUCAUGUGUUUAUCUACAAUCCAUAUGUUUUUUAUGUGUAUUCACAGAUGUCCUGUUAUUCUACAAAAAAAAAAAGAAGUGUAAAUUUGUUUCCUCCAUUAAGGAGAAAGAAUGUUAGCUUUGCAAGGAUAUUAUGUUGGCAUUUGUGCCGCAGAUUUCCUCGUCACAUGAAUGACCUCAAUAUCAUGUAUGUUUAGUGUAUCAUAGACUCGACAAUCAGGGAUGGCUUUCUCAGUACACAUGCCAACCUGGUAAGCGUGUCAAGCAUAUCAGCAGCAGAUAAAAGGGACCUUCUUGUGAAGAUGACCAUGUACAGAAAUCAUGCAUGACAACUAACAAGGAUCACACAUCUAUCUUCAAUUGGCACAACUGGCGAUUUUAUUCAAACAGCAGAUACUUUUUUUGUGCAAGACCACCUUAUGAGUGAACCAGCCUGAUUUUUGCAUAUGGUCAUCUUCUAUAUGAGCAUUUUCUCUCUGUGUUCCCUUUGGUGGCAGUAUUCUAAUUUCUAGCUGUUCAUAGAGAAUGUUGAUAAACCAAGAGGUUUGAAUUUUGUGAUAAGUCCAUUCUUUCAAGUUGAUAUUGAAUGAAAAUGGUGAUUUCCUGUUCAGGACGAAAAUUUAUUCGCAUUUGUAAUAUGUCUACAAUUUUACUAGCUUUCAUUCUAUUAGAACCUGACCCAAGUGGAAGUUCUAACUAUCCAACCUCUUCCAUUGUUUUUUGUUGUAUCCUCGACUGUUUAUUUGUAGUAAUUGAUCGAUGGAUUGGAAACUUCCAAUCCGAAGGUGUCCUCCAUCCACACUGAGAUCCAUUGUAUUUUUUUGGUGUGGAUUACCACCAACACCACUUUGGGUGGAAUAAGUACAUCAUGAUAGGUUUCCAUUUAAGUACUCCUAUUUUGCUGAUGAGUUGCUUUAAUAUGAAUAGUUGCACAUCAUUUUUAGGCUUUAACUAGAGAUUUAAUUGGUAAUGUCUUGAUUUUAUUAGUGAUGAUUCUUGGCGCAUUUGAGGUGAUUGAUGAGAGAGUUUACACAUGCGUCAUCAAACCACUACAUAGCUUCCCUUGUGCAAAAUUCAGGCCAUCUUCUCAAUCCGGUGUGCCAUACAUUUAUGUUAAUUGCUCACUGUCCAUUUCGUUUGCACAGUUGGCUCACCUGACUUCCAUGUGACCUGAUUCUUACACCAAGGCAUAAGUUGCAGUCUUUCUUUUAUAGGAGAAGCUACUUGACACGUGAGGCAAUUGGACGUGACAUGGAAAUGACAUGGCGAAUGAUCGCCAAUGAAAGUUAAUGCAUGAAUGAUAUGAGAUCUUUGGAUUAUAUUUUCAAAUUGUAGCAAGAGUUCUGUAAUAUUUGACUUGUGAUUAUAUUUGUGUUUGGAUGUAAUAUGCUUAUUUGAAAUGGAUGCAAUUAUUUAGAGUAUAGACUUAAAACAGGCUCCACAAUGCUUUACUGGAGAGUUUACAUGGAAAGCUGCUCAUUAGUUGUGGACCCACUGUAUAGCUUCCCUUGUGAAAAAUUCAGGCUGGUUUGGUCAUCUGGUGGGCCAUACAUCUAUAGUAAAUGCUGAACAUCCAUUUCUUUUGCACACGUUUCCCUCAUCUGAUAUAUGACUGACCUGAUUCUUGGACCAAGGCAUAAAUUUUGGGUGAGGUUUGUUGAGCCCACAUGUGCAUGGAGCAUUGCACUACCAUAUUCAUGCACAUGUGCCAACAUAGCAAAAUGGGUGGAUAUCAGAGCUUUCCAUCAGAUGAGGCAUGUUGUUGGCUAAAAAGGCAAGUUGUUUCACACCUCAAGUGGACCUUUGUACAAAACAAAUGAAUGUCUAAGAAAAAACUGUAUCCACUAUUCAUUUCUUUUGUAUAUUGUGCUCCGAUGAGGGAGCCAAACAGCCAGAGUUUUGUGCAAGAAAAUCUAAUUGCUGUUGCCUACCUAAUGGAAAACUCAGAUCUUGUAUACAUGUGCCAUUUUGGCAUGUUCAGCUGUAUGGGAGUGGGCAUGCUUACACAUGGAUGUGGGCUUGACAAACCUCUGUUUUUGGUCUACUACAUGGUAUUGAAUUGUUUUGGUUCUUCUAUAUGAUGGUUGGCUUUAAUGUAUAUUUUUUAGUUGGGGCAGUGUAAAUUUUUUAGUCCAUGGAAAUCUCAUCGAGAGCCAAAGCAUUUGGAUAUGUUUGAAGUUGAUUCGCACUUCCGCUGCCACCGUUUCUAGGACUGACUGACGCCUCACCUGCACUUGUACCUACAUGGUUUGAAGCUCAUAUUGGAUGAAAAUGGCCGUCGAUCGAAGGAUUAAGGACUUCCAGUCUACGGGCAUGCUCCAUCUACACCGAGAUCCAUCAAAUCAAGUCUGGAUUACCACCUUCACCUUUUGUAGAGAAUUGACCCAAGACAGUUUUCACACCAUGGUGCCCAUUGCUUCUGUUCUGCUCAUGGAUAAUCUACUAGGAAUGCCGAGGCGAUUGGACAUGAUGUAGAGAAUGGUCAUGAAUGAAAAUAUAUUUCCCUUUUAUGGUUUCUCUGACUUCCUCAUGCAUGAAUGGUGUGAGAGACAUGGAUAUGUUUUCAAAUUGUAGCAUUAUGAUGUGUGUAGUUUUUUUGUUUUUGGUACUAAAAUUCGGUACUUUAAUAAGUUGUUUCUGUAAUUCUUGAGUUGUAUUACUUUAUCUAUGUUUAGAUGUAAUAUACUUAUUAAGAGUGGAAGCAAUUAUUAGAGCAUAGGCUCGGGAGGUGGUCCACAAUGCUUCACCGGGGAGUUUACAUGGGUGCAUGAUCAAAUCUGUUCAUCAGGACAUUGAUCGAUAGCUUGGGAGCUUUAAUCCGAAAGAUGUUUCGAGCAUCUUCGACCUGUAAUAGUGCCUGUCAAAUAUUACUCUGGAUCCUCCAACUACAACCCCACUUGCACAGAAUGCUUGAACAACAAUGUUUCAAAGAAAUGAGAGAUUCAGUGAUGACCCACGCAUGCAAAGUGACAAGCUCGAUGUGGAGAAUGGUGUCAUGAGAGUCCAUUUCUCUUUAAUGGUUUCUUUUGUCACUUCCUUCUGUCAUAAACGGUGGUGAGAUGUUUUGAGGACUAUUUUCAAUUUGUAGCAUGAGGAUGUACCUAUCUUUCAACAUUCUAUGGUGUGCUAUUAUUCGUUGUGAUACAUAUUUUAUUUCAAUUUACACAAACAAUUUAAAUAACUUUUGAUUUAUUUUCCUGUGUGCAUGUGUACAUCUAAUAUGCUUGUUGAAGGCACAAGAAGCACUUACUUUACAAUGUAGGCCUAGCAACACUUCCUUCAAUCUUUUCCUUUUUUUAAGGUGCCAUACACUGCAUGGUCGAGAAUUUUGACAUUGUGCUGGAUUUUCUGUCUGCAUUAUUGGGGCCCAUGAUACAACAAUGUGUGGUUGAUACGAUGUUCGUAAUGUUGAUGGAAAAUGCUCCGGUAGUCCGAUACUAGAAGUUCCCAUCCAUUCUUUCCAUGCUUCCACUGUAUGUAGGCUGUUGGCACAUUUUCUUUCUUGAUUAAACUCUUUGCUGGCUACUAAGUGAAGGGGUAGGAAUUUCACAUCUCUGUGGAGAAAGACGGAUCUCACAGUACCCAAAGAAAUGCACUUCUAAAAUAGUGUAACAAAGUGACGUUGGCCCAAGAAUUGCCAACAAAAGAAAUAAGAAGAAUAAUCAAAGAAAACUUGGAGAAGAUGAAUUCAAGGACAUUAAUAGACAGAUUAACGAUGAUUCAAGCAUCUUCUAUCUUUAGUAGAGCCUAUCAAAUAUUACUCUUGAUCUCCAAACUACGGCCUCACUUGCAUGGAAUGCUCACACAACGAUGUUUCAACCGAAUGGAUAGGAAAGUCUGUGAUGACCCAUACAUGCAAAGUGACAAGAUGGAUGUGGAGAAUAGUUCCGUGGGAGUCCAACCCUUUAAUGGUUUCUUUUGACACGUCUGUUGUCAUAAAUGGUGGUGAGAUGUUUUGAGACAUAUUUUUCAAAUUGUAGCAUGAGGAUGUUUGUUGUUUUGCGACCUAUCUUUCCACCUGCUAUGAUGUGUUAUUAUUUGUUAAGACACAUUGUAUUUCAAUUACCACGAGCAGUUUAAAUAAUGUAGGAUUUAUUUUCCUGUAUGCAUGUCCACAUGUAACAUACUUGUUUGA